rnacentral:rRNA from 1 species
AUUGAACGCUGGCGGCAUGCCUUACACAUGCAAGUCGAACGGCAGCACGGACUUCGGUCUGGUGGCGAGUGGCGAACGGGUGAGUAAUAUAUCGGAACAUACCCUAGAGUGGGGGAUAACGUAGCGAAAGUUACGCUAAUACCGCAUACGAACUAAGGUUGAAAGUGGGGGAUCGCAAGACCUCAUGCUCAUGGAGUGGCCGAUAUCUGAUUAGCUAGUUGGUGAGGUAAAGGCUCACCAAGGCGACGAUCAGUAGCUGGUCUGAGAGGACGACCAGCCACACUGGAACUGAGACACGGUCCAG